rnacentral:snRNA from 1 species
UAACCUCAUCAAGUAGAAGGAUU